UGGUCGUGGCGGACUUCCUCUCCCGCCCUCUCGAGGGCGAGGGGGGGGAGUAGGUUCGGCCGGAUGGCUCCCCGGCCUAAGUCGGGCGGUGGGGGUAUGUGGUGGCGGGCGUGGUUUGGCUCGGCUGCAGGGGGGGACUGAGAAGGGAGUGGUUCAGGGAACGGUGCCGGGGGAGGCAAUUGGCCUCAGCUGAUGUUAAUCAGGACUCUGCUGUUAAGUAGGGGAGAGCCGGCGACAGCGAGAGAGCGGGGCGAGGAGGCUGGAGCCGGUGUUGUGUGUGUGUGGAAAUACAAAUAAAACCGUUUACAAUGGACCUGACUGCCUCGUGCCCGUCAUUUCAAGACCCCCCCAGAGGACCGACAUGUUACAGUUGCCAAAAUUUUUUACGUUACCAUUGGUCACAUUUUUUAGAGUGUAUGCACGCUGACCUGAAACACGACCCCGUGGUCACCAGAAUGAGCUGUUGAAGACAUAUUUAGUGAUCAACGAUGGUUUCUUUAAGUAGCCACCUACAGCCUUUACAAACAGCCCUGGAUUGUGUGGUGUGUCCAGCAUAAUCAAUAUUAUACAUAUUCAAAAUAUAAUAUAAAAAUACUCUCUAAAUAAUUCAAAAGGCAGCCACUGGCUCCAAUAUAUGCUGAUGUAUUGUAUCUGAUUUUACCAGGUAAAGCCAAGGCCCUGGUGUGCAUUUCCUGUGGGAAGAGAAUACCGAAGCAAAGCGCUUUCAUUAUUUGCAGUGAAUGAGCACAUUUAAUUGGAAUGAAUGGGAACGGUCCGGGAACACAGUGUCCAGUUCAUGAUAUAUCCAUGAGCUGCACAGAAGCUCAGUUUACACUCCAGCGCAACCAUAUUCAUUAUUAUCAUUCUAUGAAAAAAACAACUAUAGUUUCUACAUGCAGAUUAUUAUAACUGCACUCAUAUUGUAGUUUAUACAUUCACAGUGUGGAUCCACAGAAGUGACACACAUGACGUAAAUACAACUGAGAACAUGAAUCUGGGCCAAAUCUGAAUUGUUCUUUCUAUUAUUUUACUAGAUGCCAUCACUUUCAGUUACAUGAUGGAAAUUAGCCACUAUUUGGACAGUGUAUUAAAUAGAAGGAUUUGGGAUCUUAGAUAAUUGCACAUUAAGCUCGGUGACAGCAAACGUUUGCACUUUGUUCAGUAAGAUUUAUAUUUACGCAUGAAUGCAAUAGACCAAACUAAAAAGCCAGCUUAUAAUGGCUGUUGGCUUCUACAGUUUGUGCAUAACACAGCAGCAUUCUUCACAUUACUUUGUCAUACAUUUAUUUUUAUCAUUAGAGAAAAGCAACAUCCUCGAGCCUUUUUAUUGAUGCUAGCCGGAAGCUGGUUUCUCCCAGACAUGUUGUAAAGAUAUAUUAAUAAUUUCAGUAUAAAAAAGAACAAACCUUCUAUGUUUACCCUGCAUUGAAGUACGACAUCCCACAGAGAGCCAGAGCAUCACUCAAUGACACUCGUUAUCCGACUGUGACCUACCACUGCCUUUGCAGCUGAUACAUUUAAGAUGUCUCAACAGGAUGCGCAGGUGAACAUGACAAAGUGGUAAAGCAGAACCACUGGGUUAAAUAUUACAGACUAUUAUUGUUUUUGAUAAUAUAUAAAUUCAAUACUCAUCUUCUGGUUCAUUCACAUUUAACAGCAGGCUUUUAUGGCAGGUACUUAAGUUAUUCGUUCAUGAUUUGACAUGGACUAUUAGCAAGUUUUGGGGAAUCUAACAGCUACAGAAGAUCAAUGGCGCUUCCCCUAAUGACCAUCCCUAGUUUCGUAUUCGACCACAGACAAAAUGAAAGCUCCGACCAUUCAUUCUACGACCCAUUUCAAGACUUUGGUUUCCACCGAAGCAGCAGAAAUUGCUUCAUACAUAAUACAUCAGCUGUGUGUUAUUUAUUCAUUGUAACUGUUAGCAUCAUUACACAGUUUUAUGCAUUCCUCAGUCUCAAGUUUUUAUUUCUACGUCAUUUCUCAAUGACACAGGCUUCCUCGCAGCUAGAAGGUCCUGGAUUCGACUCCACCCAGCGGUCUUUCUGUGUAGAUUCUGCAUGUUCACCCUGUCGGCGUGGGUUCUCUCCGCGUACUUUGGCUUCCUCCCACAGUCGAAAGACGUCCUCUGGGGAUUUUCGACACACGACUCAAGCCCAAUCAUUCUCGCCCGAUGCUGCAGUCUACCCAGCCUCUGUAUAUGAAUAAUAUAUAAUAUUCUAAUAAAUGCUGUUUAAUUAAUUGAAAAUAUCUUAAUAAAAUGCUCUCACCGAAUGAGGAGGGGCCUGCAGUCUCUUUGAAAACUUUGCGUGUCUAAACUCGCUUUUAGACACGCAGGCUGGCUCUUUGAUCUAUGUCAUGUCUGCAUGCUCAUCAUCUUACAGUAAUAAAGAUGAGGAACAUGGCGAACAUCAAAACCUGCUAACUGCCGCCCCUGUUAGCAUGCUGCAUUAGCAUUUAGCUCUUGGCCUUAUCGUCUCUAUAGUGUUUUUUGUGAAUUAUUUCGAUAUUGUAAUUUUUAAAAACCUCAUUUAUUAAAAUAUUUCCAACACCAAAUGUGGAUAUCUAUAUGCAUUUCAACCAUGAUCAUUAUGAUGAUUUAGAAUGAAAGUCACUAAUUGAUCAUGUUUUACUCAUUUGCCUUCGGCCCCUGUCAGCUGUAAUGCAUGACCAUUAUUAGGAUAGGAUAAAAAUAAGAUGGUAGAAGGUAAUCUUCCUCUGCAGUCGUUGAAGUAAUUAACAAGAGACACCAUAGUGAGUUUGUCAUUGUAGCUGAUGCAAUUAAUAUGUGAUAGAAAUGUCUGAAUUGGGAGAGAUUUUGACACUGAGUAAUCCGUCCUGUACGCAACAACUUUUAUGAAUGGGAAGGACAAGUUGAGGCCUGACGAGUCACACAGUCAUUGAGUAAACCAACAACAAAAUGUUUUACAGCUCCACUGCCCAGCUCCUUGUGCUUUAAUCUCCUCCUAUUUCUGUGACUACAAGCAUACAAACCUUUUGUCUGUAACACUCAAAAAUCAGUCAGGUGACUCAUCCCUCCUGCUGCUGCGUCACUAAUUCAAACCCCUAGGUGUCAUACACAGCUGCUAAGGGUCUCCUUUCCAUGAUAUGGGAAAAGAUUUCCAUGGCUACUGCCUUUGUUUGGACUAAACCCUUCUCCCAGAGGGCUGUGCAUUGGAGAAAGGAGAGGCUAACUCCACAUCAUCAGUCACAGACACCACUUAAUCAUAUCCCCUCUCACACAGC
ensembl:lncRNA